AAGCUGAGCCGCAUGACGCGAGCUAUGAGGCCGCAGGCUGUGCUGCGUGUCGUGAGUUAGGAAGCCGUGAGCUGAGAGGCCACGAGCUGAGCCACGUCUCGCAAGCUGGGAUGCCCCAAGCUGAGCCGCGUCCCGUGAGCUAGGAGGCAGUGAGCUGAGCCACGUCCCACGAACUAGGAAGCCGUGGCCCGAGCCAUGACCCGUUAGCUAAAAGGCCGUAACCUGUACUGCCUUGAGCCAAAUUUCUGAACUCAUACUCUACAGCGUCCAACAGGUUGUCAUCCUGUCCUCUCAUCUGGAACCAAACCCAGUUAGACUCAGAGACUAACAAAUCUUCUCUCAAAAUAAAAGAUUCCUCGGACUCC